UACGUAGGGACCAAGCGUUGUUCGGAUUUACUGGGCGUAAAGGGCGCGUAGGCGGCGCGGUAAGUCACUUGUGAAAUCUCUGAGCUUAACUCAGAACGGCCAAGUGAUACUGCAGUGCUAGAGUGUGGAAGGGGCAAUCGGAAUUCUUGGUGUAGCGGUGAAAUGCGUAGAUAUCAAGAGGAACACCUGAGGUGAAGACGGGUUGCUGGGCCAACACGUGACGCUGAGGCGACGAAAGCCAGGGGAGGCAAACGGG
rnacentral:rRNA from 1 species